UACGAAGGGGGCUAGCGUUGCUCGGAAUCACUGGGCGUAAAGGGUGCGUAGGCGGGUCUUUAAGUCAGGGGUGAAAUCCUGGAGCUCAACUCCAGAACUGGCCUUUGAUACUGAAGAUCUUGAGUUCGGGAGAGGUGAGUGGAACUGCGAGUGUAGAGGUGAAAUUCGUAGAUAUUCGCAAGAACACCGGUGGCGAAGGCGGCUCACUGGCCCGAUACUGACGCUGAGGCACGAAAGCGUGGGGAGCAAACAGGG
rnacentral:rRNA from 1 species